rnacentral:rRNA from 1 species
UACGUAGGGCGCAAGCGUUGUCCGGAAUUAUUGGGCGUAAAGAGCUCGUAGGCGGUCUGUCGCGUCGGCUGUGAAAACCCGGAGCUCAACUCCGGGCCUGCAGUCGAUACGGGCAGACUGGAGUUCGGCAGGGGAGACUGGAAUUCCUGGUGUAGCGGUGAAAUGCGCAGAUAUCAGGAGGAACACCGGUGACGAAGGCGGGUCUCUGGGCCGAUACUGACGCUGAGGAGCGAAAGCGUGGGGAGCGAACAGG